GAACGGCGCGGCGGGCGAAACCAAAAUGGCUGGUGCACGGCGUCGUCGCCACGGGAAAAACGGCGAGACCUAAAUCACGGAUUCCAAUCUAUACGGGCUGUCAAUUAUUCAAUAAUUUUACGUCUUUAGUGUCCCGCGCCGGCGAUCGCCAAACCAUUUACCGCGACCCGUUCAACCGCGUCCCGGAGACGCGCUCUUCAGAUUAUCGUUAUCGUUGUCAAGAUUAUGUUGCCGAGUUAGUGGCCGCUGAUCGCAGCGAUGAUUGUUAAUGGCGUUGGCCUCGAGUAAGACAUUUUAUCUGGGAACAAUACUUGCCAUCUUCGAUGUGUCUCGCACUAGAUUCGAUAGAUAGCCGAAGUGCAGUUAACUCUGUCGGCCUGCGACUUUCUACACUUCUACAUUAAUUAGAAGUCCUUUAUUUAUGCAGUUACCGUUGGUGCGUAACAUUUCUUUCUUCUUCAGAAAAAACUUUAAAUAAAAUAUUAAACUGUGCGACUAUAAGCAACUCCAACUUUUUGAGGUGGAUUGAAAUAUAUCCCAUUAUACAUAAAAAGUUAAGCAAAACAGUUUUUA